rnacentral:lncRNA from 1 species
GGGGUCUCGAUCGCGCUAUUGUCAUGGAGACGGGAAGCUGGCUGCAGCGGCGGCGGGGACCGUGGGGCCGAGGUGGCUGCCAGCCGGCCAAUGUCUAAGCGAGGCGGAGCGGCCCAGGCGGCCCGAGCCUGGGGGAGCGCGCAGCCGGCCAGUGGCGGCCUCGCCGGCGGCCUCUUCCCGGGCUCGCAGUAGGCCCGAGUCGUCGCCGGGAGCUCCUGGGAGCAGCGUCCCCGCCCUGCUCCCCUCGCUCCCGCCUCUUGCGGCCCCACGGCCCCUCAGCGCCCGCCCCCGGCUCCGCCCGCCGCAGCCGCAGCCCCUGGCGCUAACGGUCGGUAACGGCCCGCGCGCGCCGCCCGCCGGGGGCUCGCGCCAGCCACGAGGGAGCGUCCGCGGCCCGCGCGCCCGCGCGGCGGAGGAGAGGUGUUAAGUGUGAUGCUUCCAUAAUACAUUUGGAUGCUGUCAGCUAAGUUCACUUCUGAACUAAGGGGUUCCUCCAAAUGUUGGCUGAAAUUCAUCCCAAGGCUGGUCUGCAAAGUCUGCAAUUCAUAAUGGAGCUACUGUACUGGCUAUUGGAAGGAGGAGAUUCUGAAGAUAAGGAGGUAAAACCUGUUUAGAAAUUAAAAAUGAGUUACGAUUUAAAGAAAAUUCAGAUGACUCAUUGUGAGUGCUAGUUCUCUUGUAGGAUGCCACUGGAAAUGUUGAAAUGAAAAAUAUUCAGCCGUUGGUCUUUGAAAUUUCCUGUGAUGUGUUUCAAUCUAGAUGCAAAGAACAUGGAAAAAUCAAAGUGCUCGAGUGGUUUAAAUAUGUUUUGGGUAUUCCUGUUUAUAGACUAUAAUACUUUUCCAAUUAAAAUCCUCAGUUGUCACGCAGAAGAAGGUUAAGCUGUAUUUGAUUGCCAGUUUUACUGAAAAUGCUUAGUAUUUUACAGUAUCACCAAAUAUAUUUUGUUUAGCCAAGGUAUAGGAAAAAUAAAAUAAAUUGUAUAGGUUGACUUUUUUCUAAAAUGUCUUUAUUGGAUUGAAUGAAUGUUUAUACCUGAAAAAAAAAGGUUCAAAAA